rnacentral:tRNA from 1 species
UAGCUCAGUCGGUAGAGCACGCGGCUGUUAACCGCGGUGUCGUUGGUUCGAGUCCAA